GUGCCAGCAGCCGCGGUAAUACGGAGGGGGUUAGCGUUGUUCGGAAUUACUGGGCGUAAAGCGCACGUAGGCGGAUCAGAAAGUUGGGGGUGAAAUCCCGGGGCUCAACCCCGGAACUGCCUCCAAAACUACUGGUCUAGAGUUCUGGAGAGGUGAGUGGAAUUCCGAGUGUAGAGGUGAAAUUCGUAGAUAUUCGGAGGAACACCAGUGGCGAAGGCGGCUCACUGGCCAGAUACUGACGCUGAGGUGCGAAAGUGGGGGGAGCAAACAGGAUUAGAAACCCCUGUAGUCC
rnacentral:rRNA from 1 species